rnacentral:rRNA from 1 species
GGGCUCACACAAGCGGUGGAGCAUGUGGUUCAAUUCGAAGCAACGCGCAGAACCUUACCUGGGCUUGACAUGCUAGGAUUAUCCCUAUGAAAGUAGGGUAGGCCCUUCGGGGUACAACUAGUACAGGUGCUGCAUGGCUGUCGUCAGCUCGUGUCGUGAGAUGUCGGGUUAAGUCCCAUAACGAGCGAAACCUUUGCCCUUAGUUACCAGCGGGUUAUGCCGGGGACUCUAAGGGGACUGCCGGUGUCAAACCGGAGGAAGGUGGAGAUGACGUCAAGUCCUCAUGGCCUUUAUGCCCAGGGCCACACACGUGCUACAAUGGGAUGGACAAAGCGAACCUAAACCGCAAGGUGGUGGAAAUCGCAAAAAUCAUCCCCCAGUUCAGAUCGGAGGCUGCAACUCGCCUCCGUGAAGUUGGAAUCGCUAGUAAUCGCGGAUCAGCUACGCCGCGGUGAAUGUGUUCCUGAGCCUU